UGCAGCCUCAGCCUCUCAGGAAGCACACUGCCAUCCAUCAGCCUGACACCAACCUUUAACGCUCCAUAGCUUUGCUCUUACUGCUUCAAGCUCAGACUCCACUGUCACAGCACCUCAGCCACACACCGAGCUCUCGUGCACCACGUCUUUGCCUGGCAGCCCCAAUCCCAUUCCUCUGUAGAUGGGAGGAGCUCACCCAUACCCAGCAUCUCUGUGCAGGGACACAUGGCUGCAGGGAGCUACGACUGCCUGAAAGGAGCACCUGUCUGGAGGAGCAAAGCUUGGUGUUAAGACGCAGGGCGAGGAGCGAAGGGGAAGAGCGCACGCCAAGGUCACAUCUGCAGCAGCAGCGACGGCAGCUGCACAGCAGCGAUAUUAAACCUCCCUCUGGUGUAGGAUACACACACAGACACUUCUUAAGAGCAACAACGAUCCACAUGAAUUGGAGCAGUCCCCAGAGGAGAGCUGCGUGGCUGGCGUGGCAGGGGGUGACUGAAGGGCACACAGUGAGGGUGGGAGCAGCGUGCCCGGCUGUAGAUGAGAGAUUCUCAGCUUUAUCACCCCCAAGUUUGGCAGUGAUUUGCAACUGGGGAGACGCUCAGCUCACCGCUUGCAAGGAAGCAGUGUGACCUGUGCCAAGAAGCAACGAGCAUCAGAAGGUGGAUAUUUCAAGUGAGCGGAACGAAGAUUAUCUACUUUUGUUGCUGCUUUUAAAGCAUAGUAGGAGGCAUCAGCUCUCCCACCUCUCUACUGGUACUCACUGUACCUCCUGGCUUCUCUGUCCAAAGCUGCUGGGGGCAAUGGCACCUUCCAGCAACUCCCUGCGAGCUGGAAACCUCCAGAGAAGCGGAGCAGAGCUGGAACACAAGGAGAUAACGGAGCUCGAGCCCAUUCAAAGCUGCCCGGGUGUCUGUGAGGGUGUAAUGCUCAGCACCAUCUAGUGGUCGUCACCUGCGGCUAUUCGCUCACACAACGCCACAAACGGGGCCUGUUUGAUUUACAGCACUUUUCUUCCCCAUAGCCAAUCUGUCAAGAGACGUGCAGCCCGCUCUGGCGUUUCGCAGGGCUCUGUAAGGACUGCUCAAGUUCUAAUCUCAUUGCUUGGGCUGACUUUCCUCCUCGCGAGGAGGAGAUGUUUUUCCUAAGGGAGAAUAUCCGUAAAAUAGGGGCAGUCUUUUAAGAUAUCAGCAGAGCUAUUUGAGAUACGCGGCUGAACGACAUCCAGUAUUGGUGCCAUUUAUCACAGCGGAGCCAGAGGGGGAGAAAGAGAAUGUAAUGCUGUAAAACAUAUGGAAAACAUUAUCCAAAUAGCACAAAUACGACAUAAAGCCACACACGCAAACAGGGCUUGGAUUUGGGCUCCCCAUAGCCCCUGCUAGACAAGUAAGGAUAAUGAGUUUUUAUUCACAAUGCAUUUAAAGGAGGCCCCACUCUCAUCUUCUCAGCCUGCCAUCAGCACUGCCUCUCUGCUUUUAUUUACAGCUGAACCUCCUGGGUGGAAUCGGAGAACAGAGGAAAAGGGGAGAGCAAGCGACAGAUGCCCACUGCUGCAAAGUACCGUUCAGCAUCUCCCAAAGGGUGAUCCAUCAGAAGGGACGUGCUGCUAAUCAGCAUGAAACCGACACACGUCACAUCCCCACAGAGCACAACACAGUGCAGAACAGCUCCGCAGAGAAAUGCUUUCUGGGGAGGGGACCUGGACACGCAGCUCUUCCCUUAGGCCUAUAGGUCCACCUCAGCCUUUCUCUCAUACUUACCCCAUUGGUGCUGAGAUCCAUAAAUGUUUUCUCUUUUGCUCCCUAAUCGCCACACAAACGUCCCAUUUUUAAGUGAAAAAAGAUAGAAGCAAUCUUUUAUAUCCUCUAUAGCUGAAGCUGGAGUGCUCCUUUACCAGGAAAUGGUUUCUUGUUAUCAGAAGAUGACAUCAUUAUUUUACAGUAAAAGCCUCAGCCCUAUUUUAUUUUUUUUCAGUCUUCUUUUCUUCCCCCAUCAUCUUGGAAACAGAACUCACCCAGUAGCUUGCAAAGAGCAAUAACUACAGAAAGAUGGUUUGGCUCUGUCUCCUGGAGACAGGCACUACCAACAUAGCAUCACUGACGAAGUUAAGACAAACUUCCUUCCCACAGUCACCUGCAGCUUACAGUGCCAUUCACAGUGGAAGAGCAGCCUGCCUUGAAUGCAGGGGAUUACGUUUCAUCCACACCUUUCUGGCUUCCUCCCCACUAAAGUUAACCAUACUGGCUCUCUUAUGUCACCCACUCUACCUGUAAGAGCAUAUAACACAACUGUCUCAUUGCUGGGCUAAUACAAGAGGGCAAGCUGUGUCUCUCUGGAAAACUCCCAGAGGAAGAGGGAUAAGUUGUCUUUGCACUUCUCUCAAAAUACCCUCCCCUCCUUCAAAGCAAUGUACCCAAGGGUGGGGAAAAGCCCUUAUAUCACUUACAUAAGGUAACAUAAGUGUGAGAAAGUGCUUUAAAUGGCCCUUAUUCCCCAAGAACCAAAGGAUACUGGGGGCCGGGGGGAGGAUGUGACAGCCUGCAACAGACCGUGGGAAUGAGGAAGGCCAUUAGGGACAGAUGUGAACUACUGUAGCAUCACCCCAUGCAAAGAUGCACCAGCCUGCUCAUCUGUGAAGUCACCUUUCAGGACUGCUGUUGUUUUCCUGCUUGGAAAGCAGUCCUCCUGGAGGCCUGAAGGAAGGAGGAGAUCCAGAAGCAGCAGUGGAACCAGACCUGCUAGUUCAGACCUGAGGUGCCACUCCAUCAGCACACUGCACGCUGCUGAGGGCAGUGGUGGCUCCCUGUCCUCUGCUUGUGCAAAGUCCCACUCCCCAGAGACAUUCAGGCCCAGGACCAGAACAACGAGCUACCUUCUCAAGGGUUACCAUAUUGCCUUUACAGGGGAGGAAAAAAAAAAAACCAAUACAAUCUGUAAAAUGAAAUAAAACCUGUUAUAGAGAGUGCAGAGUUCAGAGCCUCUCCAGGGAGCCAGAGCAAUAGAAAUGCAACAGGAAGACAGCUUCCAUCCCCAGCAUUAAUGAGUAACGAACAGAGGAAACGCGAGGAGCCCACGGGGAUAUGCUGCCUUAGCCCUGUCAGUCACAGAGGGUGACAGCUGAGACCUUUAAAAGCUGUCACAGGAAAUAAAGGCCCUCCAAAUGCCAAUCCUGUCAGCAGCAUAAUUAACAUGUCAUGUAUGGUCUGUUUGCAAGUGCAGCACUUACUGCAGCUCCAGCUCCAGGCUGUAAAAAACUCCGCUUGCCUGGCACUUCCUGCCCCAUGGAAUUAUGCCAAAGUCACUGCACAGCCAAGAAAAGGCAAACUGUAGUGUUUGGGAAGAUAGGAAUCAGUUUGCAUCCCAUACAGGAAGGCAAACCAACACCAAAGGCGCUGUUGUUCCUGCAGCUCCAGAGGAGCAUCUCUGGAAACAGAAUCCAGUGACACGCUCAGAAAAGUGCUGAGUAAGCCAUAAGUGCCAGAGCAGCAAGAAAGACCUCACGGUUUCCUAGCAGAGUUACAAACAUUGAAGUUAUUUUGCCAUUAUCCCCUGGAGUGGCAAAAUUUCUGGGGUAAGCCCACUGAACUGUAAGAACAAGAGGAAGAAAGCUGUAGCUGCAUGGUCCUCUUCCUUGUCACCCCCCCUCCCCACGACACAGCCCUCCAGGCAGCUUGGCAGGGCACAGCCUGGCAGGUUUGCAUCUAAAACUGCUUCAAGAAGCCUUGGAGCAAGGGCUUCUAGAAGGUUCUUCGACACAGUGUUGGCAUCCCAGGUUAGCCACUUUUGACAGCCAGUUUUACAACAGCAGCAGAUCUCAUACAGCAGCAGAACCUGCACAGCUUCAAAUGCUGCUCAACUGGAAAGGGUGCCCAGGAUCAGAGCACAACAACCUGUCUCCACACAGAAGAGCAGCCACAAGAUCUCACCUACGUUAUGUCUUCCUGGGGUCUCGCACAGACCAGAAGGAAUCUGACAGGUGCCCCAAGCACAUCCAUCUCACAAGGACAAAGCACUUGAAAGGGUGGAGGGAACACCUGUGGAGAACCCAUAAACCAGGUAGGUGUGAGGACUGCAACAGCUGGAGGAUCCUCCUCACUAACCUGUAGGUAGCAGUGAGAGGUAAAAAGGAAACAUCCCUCCGUUUCUGGCAGCAUACCUCAGGCAAACUUCAGAUGAUAGAUUCAGGUGUUACUGUGAGGAACGACAAAGACGGAGGAAGACAUGCUGGAGUAAGAGAAAAAGCAAGCAUGCAAAAGAGGAAUAAAAGAGCUUGACUAGUGGUAAGGCUGGUAAAAGAGCAGAUUUAUACUGAAUGUAACAAUUAGCAAUGAAAAUGCAUACAGAAGUCUAAUCUGUAGACAGCCUUUGUCUUCCACUGACCACUGUACAUUCCAUAGACCAAUCAAUUCUACAGGGAGGAAACAGAAGUAUGUGUAUUCUGAUAACCUUUCAAGUAAUCAGUACAUUCUGAUCCUCCCAGUAGGACCCCUGCUAGUCUGUAAACCAACAAAGCCCAGCAAGUGCCCUUAGUAACCACACGCAAAAUCUACUGAACAGUAAAAAGCAGAAGUUCUAUUAAAAGGCAGAAAAUUUAAAAUCACAAUCAUCUAUAAAAAUAAUCUAUUUCUACACAAUAAAUAUACCAUUUCUUUCUUCUUUCAAGUUGACUUAAAAUACUCAAGUUAAGGAUAUCUUACAAACAGCAAUGAGGAAUCUUAGUUUAUAUUUUGUGGGAAAGCUUUUCUUGCAAACUCCUGUUUCUGAAGUGAUUUGAAAAGAAAAAGGUCUUUUGAGAUACCAGGUCACUCAAAGUCCAGGGACCUGAGUCCAAUUCCUGUCUCAAAAUGCUUUUCUUUUCUCAGUAACCAAAAAUGAUAACAGCCCUGUGGUCAGCCCUGAGGUUCCUGUAAGGAGGGACAGCUUUAUCAGCAGCUCAUGCAUCAGAACAAAGGGAGAAAAAUGAAACAGCAAAGAAGUGAGAUGGAUAGGUGGUACUCCUGACUGUUGAAAGGGGUUUUCUGAGCCACACAAUGAGCUCUCACUGCCUGAAGUCAGCAGAGAUAGGAAAUAACACUAUCUGAACACGUGCUCAAAAUGCUUUGAAGUAAUACAUUCAUACCCAGGCUGCUGCUGUAGACAGGAAGGUCUCUCUGAGAUUACCAUCAGCUAUGUGAAUGAGCACAGAGAUAGUACACAUUUGGAUAGAUUGAUUUUUGUUAAGACCUGCCAAGGGCAAAGGAAAGGCAUAAAGUUUCCCUUAUAAUGAGAACGGUCUAAUUUGCAGUUCUGCACUAAGAAUUAUUUAUCAUGAAUCUUUGAUUCCUUUCACCCAG
ensembl:lncRNA